rnacentral:rRNA from 1 species
GAUGAACGCUGGCGGCGUGCUUAACACAUGCAAGUCGAACGAGAACGGAUUAUAGCUUGCUAUAAUUGUCAGCUAAGUGGCGCACGGGUGAGUAAUGUAUAGGUAAUAUGCCUCUUACUAAGGGAUAACAAAUGGAAACGUUUGCUAAUACCUUAUACUCCUUAUUAACAUAAGUUAAUAAGGGAAAGAUUUAUUGGUAAGAGAUUAGCCUGUAUUGUAUCAGUUAGUUGGUGGGGCAAUGGCUUACCAAGACUAUGACACAUAACUGGUUUGAGAGGAUGAUCAGUCACACUGGAAAUGAGACACGGUCCAGACUCCUACGGGAGGCAGCAGUGGGGAAUAUUGCACAAUGGACGAAAGUCUGAUGCAGCAACGCCGCGUGGAGGAUGACACAUUUCGGUGCGUAAACUCCUUUUAUAUGAGAAGAUAAUGACGGUAUUAUAUGAAUAAGCACCGGCUAACUCCGUGCCAGCAGCCGCCGUAA